rnacentral:rRNA from 1 species
UCCGUAGGCGGAUUGAUAAGUCAGAGGUGAAAUCCCACAGCUUAACUGUGGAACUGCCUUUGAAACUGUUAGUCUUGAGUUAUAUGGAAGUAGAUAGAAUGUGUAGUGUAGCGGUGAAAUGCAUAGAGACUACACAGAAUACCGAUUGCGAAGGCAGUCUACUACGUAUAUACUGACGCUAAUGGACGAAAGCGUGGGGAGCGAACAGGAUUAGAUACCCUGGUAGUCC